GCUCACGGCAACGCCGGAUCGUUAACCCACUGAGCAAGGGCAGGGAGCGAACCCGAAACCUCAUGGUUCCUAGUCAGAUUCGUUAACCACUGCGCCACCACGGGAACUCCACCUUGCUACUUUUUAAGAAGGCUCUUAUUCUUUACAUUUCUCUUGGCAGCAAGGUAUGAACUUUCCCCUUUUCCAUAUCCGCAGAAGAGGUAGUUGUUAUGUAUGUUUUUAUUUUAUUUUUUCUAGCCAGUAAAGAGAUCUUAUUUAAAUUACAUUUUGUCUUCCUUAGUAAUUUUGGUUAUCUUUUUGUUAUUAAUAUUUGUUUGUCAUUGGGAUUUGUUUUUCUCUGCCUGUUUUUCCUGUUGUGUUCUGUCUUUUGCUUAUCAAUUUAUACAUAUAUACACAAUGCAUACUGUCCUCAUUAAGAAUUCCAGCCUGAUCCCUAGAUUCUAAUUUACUUUCCUGGAUUUUCUUACAGUGUUUAUUAUUUUUACAUUUAAGUCUUCAUCUUUAUUUUUAUUUUUUGGCCUUUUUAGGGCUGAACCCAAGGAACAUGGAAGUUCCCAGGCUAGGGGUCCAAUUUGAGCUGCAGCCAAGGCAGCCAGAUCUGAGCUGCCUCUGUAACCUAUGCUGCAGUUUGGAGCAGGACCCUUAACCCACUGAGUGAGGCCAGGGAUAAACCUGCAUCCUCACAGACCCUAUGUCAAGUUCUUAACCUGCUGAGCCACAUUGGGAACUCCAUGUUCAUCAAUACAAAGUUUUUAAGAUGAAUUUUUUUUUUUCUUUCUUUUUGGCCGCACUCUCCGCAUACAGAAAUUCCAGACGAGGGAUUGAACCUGCAUCAUAGUAGUGACAAUGUGGGUUCCAUAAUCGCUAGGCCACUGGGGAACUCCUUAUGCUUUUAUACGAUUCUUGAAUUAUUUAUUUAUUUGUUUGUUUAGUCUUUUUCUAGGGCCACACCCAUGGCAUAUGGAGGUUCCCAGGCUAGGGGGUCUAAUUGGAGCUAUAGCCACUGGCCUACACCACAGCCAUAGCAAUACCAGAUCCGAGCUGCAUCUGCAACCUACACCACAGCUCACGGCAACACCGGAUCCUUAACCCAAUGAGCAAGGCCAGGGAUCGAACCCAUGACCUCAUGGUUCCUAGGUGCAUUCGUUGACCACUGAGCCAUGACGGAAACUCAUGAUAUUUUUAUAUUUGUCUUCUACUUGGCUGGGAGCUACUUGAGAGCAGAAACUGUCUUUCUUUCCUAUCCCUGACAGUCUCUGACACAUAGGAAGCCUUAGCUAAAAGAGAAAAGCAAGGCUUAGAAUGAAUAAUUUUCCUAAGGUCACAUAGCUAGUGUAUGGCAGAGCCAGAAGGAGCAUCCAGAUCCUUAACCACUCAACAAUUAUAAAGAAGAAACACUGCAUGAGUGUCAGGAGACCCAAGGACUAGCCUUUAGUUGGUGGCUCUUGUGUUGAUUUUCCCUAGGUGAGAUUCUUUACCUUUAUCAUAUUUUGUUCUCAUUUGUAAUGCUCUUUUUAAGGCCAUCAAUUGAAGGUUAUUUUUGUUUACGUUUCUUCCAAGGAAAUUGAAAAAGUCUCAAUUCCCUAUAGAUUUCUUUUGAGAUAAGUGGCUGAAGAGAGCUGUUGGCUAUAAUGAAGGUAUCAAGAAUUUCCUGCUCUAGCUCAAGAGUGUCCCUCCUAUGAGUAGUUCAGACUCGGUGCCCUGUAGGGCCCUUUUGGGUCUUAUAUUCCAAGUGUUUGUACCUCACCUGUAUGCUGUCCCUCGGUGACUGCACCACCCUUUAUUCUCCCUUUCCGUCAUCUGCCGGUUGAGAUGUGACUUUCCUCAGCGGGUUUGGUGAGGAACACCAGCCUUGAAGGAGUGACACCUUCUGCUCUCCAUGGUCCUGAAAAGAUGUCCCUGGGUUUCCUGAAAGUUUCUGUUUCCUGAGUACAGAUUUGAAUUUUUAUUUGUUUUUGAAGAAAAAGGAGAUGACAGAUGAUCUGUUAAUGAGUUACUGGAAACCACAGGAGAAUAAAAGGUACUGUCCAGGUGGUAGAGACAGAUCUUCUGUUCUUUCGCGUUUCUCCAUUUCUCCGUUUUGUAGUCUUUUUCCUUUGGCUGCCUCAGUGUGUCCAACUCUGCUUCUCUUGUUGCUGAGGUCUCAGACCUUAUGAUUUACUCCAGAGGUGCUGGCAAGACUGAGCUCAGAUUUAGGAUUAAGGACAUUAGGACUGCAGAAGGAUUAGGUAGGCUUCGGGAUUGAUCUGUCAGAGAGACUUCAGGAACUCCGUAUCUCUCCCACUCAGACUUUUGUCCUCUCUGCGAUCAACACAGUGUUGUCAAUGAUCAUACCCUGAUUUCCCUUCAGCGAAUCCCUAAGGAACUAGAAUGUCUUCCCUGAGAAUUCCACUGCUUAGGAGGUGACCCAGAAGUGAUAGCCCCUCCAGUCCUCUCCCUGUUCCCAUAGAGCACCUUAGAGAGAUUCCAAAGGGAGGUUCCUAAGGGUCAGGACCCUUAGGAUGUGAAAUUACUAGAUUCGAUCUUGGGAGGUAAUCUCUACAUGGAGCAUCUGGAUUGCUGCUUUCUCUUUUUCUCUCAUCUUCCUUCUUCCUUUUUAGUCUCUGCAUUUCCUUUUUCUUUAAAAAGCAAUUUUUUUUUUUUUUUUGGUCUUUUUAUGCAUGGAGAUUCUCAGGCUAGGGGUCCAACCGGAGUUGCUGGCUUAGGCCACAGCCACAGCAGCUCGGGAUCUAAGCCAUGCUCACAGCAACCCUGGAUUCUUAACUCACUGAGCGAGGCCAGGGAUCGAACCUACAACCUCAUGGAUACUAGUCGGAUUGGUUUCUGCUGUGCCAUGAUGGGAACUCCUAAAAGAGCAACUUCUUUGCUGUUGAUUAUCUAGUGCUUUACUGCUUUGUUAGUUACGUUGUUACUCCUCUCCUGUAUCCCUCCCAUUUAAUUAAUUGCCAGUUUCUGACAUUUUUAAACAUCUUAGCUGUCUCCUCCUUCCAUUUUUCACUUCGACUGUCCUAUUUCAAGUCUUUCCUUAGACUGGUAACUGCCUCCCUACCUUCAUCUGAGCAUUUGGUCUCACCUCCUUGCCCCACUCCCAGCCUUUCGUUUGUAACUGCCUCCUUGGUGAUAUUUCUGACUCAAAACUCUGGCUGUGGUCAUUCCCCUACUGUCAUCUUUGAUGACUUUUAUUCUUCACCUAUUGGGUAAAACCUAAAUCUCUCUGGAGUGGCUUAUGAAGAUCUUUAUGAGCUUGUUCAGUGGGCUGGCCGAAGUGUAUAGAUGGGGAAUUGUGAGGAAGAAGAAAUCAUUUGUAGAGAAGUAGACACCACAUCUUUGUGCCCUUAGGUAUAUGGGGGAUUCCGUAUGUGAUCCCAUUCAAAUGUAAAGAAAGUUUAAAACAACUUUCUCCAGUCUUCUUUUUGACUGGUCAAGGAAGCACAAUCAUCCUUCUGUUUUGUCAAACUGAGCACUUUUUAGGGAAGCCAAGAUCUUUGCAUACUGCUUAUGGAAAUUUCUUUUUGCAACAGAGGUAGGCUGUGGGUCACUGAGGACACUCAUUAAGCAUGUACUCCCCAAAUACUGAAGGAAGAGUCAAUCAGAAACCAGCUUUUAGGAGUUCCUGUCGUGGCUCAGCAGAAAUGAAUCUGAUUAGCAUUCAUAAGGAUUCAGGUUCAAUCCCUGGCCUUGCUUAGUGGGUUAGGGAUCUGGCGUUGCCGUGAGUGUGGUGUAGGUGGCAGAUGUGGCUUGGAUCCCAGGUUGCUAUGGCUGUGGCAUAGGCCGCCAGCUACAGCUCUGGUUUGACCCCUAGCCUGGGAACUUCAGCAAGCUACCAGUGUGGCCCUAAAAAGU
rnacentral:lncRNA from 1 species